UACGAACCGUCCAAACGUUACUCGGAAUCACUGGGCUUAAAGGGUGCGUAGGCCGCGCGGAGGGUGGGAUGUGAAAUCCCCCGGCUCAACCGGGGAAUAGCGUCCCAAACCGCCGUGCUCGAGGGAGACAGAGGUGAGCGGAACUGAUGGCGGAGCGGUGAAAUGCGUUGAUAUCAUCAGGAACACCAGUGGCGAAAGCGGCUCACUGGGUCUUUCCUAACGCUGAGGCACGAAAGCUAGGGGAGCGAACGGG
rnacentral:rRNA from 1 species